rnacentral:rRNA from 1 species
UUCGUAGGCGGUGUGGCAAGUCGGGAGUGAAAUCUCUGGGCUCAACCCAGAGGCUGCUUCCGAAACUGCUGUGCUUGAGUGUGAGAGAGGCGCGUGGAAUUGCAGGUGUAGCGGUGAAAUGCGUAGAUAUCUGCAGGAACACCCGUGGCGAAAGCGGCGCGCUGGAUCACUACUGACGCUGAGGAACGAGAGCUAGGGGAGCAAACAGGAUUAGAUACCCUGGUAGUCCUAGCCCUAAACGAUCAGGACUUGGGGUGCCGCCCGUUCGGGCGUCGUCCCGGAGCUAACGCGUUAAGUCCUGCACCUGGGGAGUACGGUCGCAAGACUGAA